rnacentral:snRNA from 1 species
GGGUCAUCUGGCUGUGACAUCUGUUACCCCAUUGAUUGCCAGGAUUGAUUGGGCUGAUGCAGCUGCCUAACUGUCUUUAUCCUUCCUAUCCACUGAAGCAGCACGCUGGUGGAGAGCGAUCUUCCUAGAUACUGGAGCAUCUUUCUUAGGUCAGAUAUAUGCAGGUGGCUAUGCCCUGCUGCUAGAACCUCCAAACAAGCUCUCAAGGCCCAUUUGUAGGAGAACAGACAGCACUCAAGCUAUGAAGACUUUAAAUACAUGCAAUUGAGGCUCUACAAGCGGCUGUCUGCCUUUCUU